GAUGAAGAACGCAGUGAAAUGCGAUAAGUAAUGUGAAUUGCAGAAUUCAGUGAAUCAUCGAAUCUUUGAACGCAUCUUGCGCUCCUUGGUAUUCCGAGGAGCAUGCCUGUUUGAGUGUCAUUUAACUUCUCAACCACAUUGGAUAUUUUUUUUCCGAUGCCGGCUUGGAUGUGGGGGUUGUUUGCAGGCUUUUUGUAACAAAAAAGGUCGGCUCCCCUGAAAUGUAUUAGUGGUAUCUGAGGCUAUUACUAUUAGGUGUGAUAAUUAUCUAUGCCUUUUGGGUAUGCCGCAUGAACAGAUUAUGCUGCUUCUAACGAAAACUAUUUUGAUGAAUUUGACCUCAAAUCAGGUAGGACUACCCGCUGAACUUAAGCAUAUCAAUAAGCGGAGGA
rnacentral:misc_RNA from 1 species